GAGCAGCAGAGCAGGAAACCCACAAUGGUGGUGGGCCUGGUGCUAAUCGCUCGCAGUGGCAGGUGAAGCCGACGACGCUUGAGGUGGGGGGUUGCAUACAAGGCAUGCCAGGUUUGGGCUGUUUCCUAUGCUUUCUGGGGCCCCUUCUUGUUACCCCCAACACCGAGUCUGGGGGGGAAUUACUGACUAGGCAGCGCAUUGCUACCUUUGAAGUUAAACAAUUUAUCUCCCAUCGCCAGCAAUGCUUUUGCACUAUUUCAAGGCUCACAAGGAUCUCUGAGCUGCUCAGAUUCUCCUCAUUAGCCAGAGAAAAUAUUGGAAGGACCAGGCCUGCCCGCCAAACACGGGCCCUAGGAAGAGGAAGGGAUACUCCUGAAGCCACAUGCUCAGCAAGUGGAAGAAGCCAGAGCAAGCACUGGCUCCUCUACCCCAGCACCAUUUGAUCUCCCCAGAUUUCAACUGUGAGCCACGAUGUUGAGCUGUGAGCAGUAAAUUCACUUACUAAGGAGAGCCAUCUUAGUGGGCCAUCUUAGAAACUCAUUCCACAGAAGCAUGCUGCCUCCUUGGGAGGCUUGCCCGCUGGGGGAUCCCUCUCAAAGUCUCUGCCCAUCUGAGUGGCCACCCCCGAAAGAGAUCAUUCAAGUCACUUCUGCGGUGUUGACAACCUUGCAAGUUCAUCCGCUCUGCCUCUGAGCGCUCCUUUCCCAUUGCUGGUGUCCCAUGUGCUACAGUAGGCAAUGCUCCACAUUUCAGCUCCAGCUGGUCAAUUGUUCUGUCCUCGGGAGCAGCGACAUCUGUUUACUUCAUUCUCAGCAGCCAGAAGGUCAUGUUUACUGCUGGGUCAUUUCCAGUAGCCAGAGGGUCAAAGCCAAGUGGCAAAGAACUACCAACAUUUACCUCAAAUUUUUCUUUCAUUGUUUCAGUUUUCUUUUAACUUUGAGUGCAUGUGUGCUUUGCCUGUGUAUCUCUGUACCAUGUGCAUUCCUGAUGCCCAAGGAGACCAGAAGAGGGCCACAGACCCACUGGAACUGGAGUGACAGUGCUCGGGUCCUCGCCAUGGAGUUUCUACUUCGGCGUACCGCUUUCCCAAUACCUAGCUCACCUGGAUCCCCAUCUGUAAAACUACUGCUCUACUUCCCCCUCCUUCAGUUUUCAUGCCUUACACUGCAGACAGCUGUGACGGGCCUCCACGAUACCAUGGAACGAUGCCUGGCCACAGGAUUCACAUUAACAAGGUACACCUGAGCAAUUUCAAGGCAGCUUCCUAGACUAUAUUUUGUCUCAAAGCACUGUAGACGCAACAUGUGUAUCUGGAGUCAUUCUACCUUGGUCCCUAUCUCGGAAAUUCAACUGCUUCGGCAAGAACUUCGUUUUUUGACUGGCUGACGUCUAGAGCAAUCCUGACUUCAUCCUAACUUUGUGCUCAGCUCUACUUCAGGGUGCAUGGCCUUGACUUUGUUUUGGGUUAGGAAGAAUUUAAGAAGUUGGGCUCAAGUUCCUCCCUUUCUCCCAUGCACUCUGAGUCACUGAUUUAUCUCAUCCUGUCUCCAGUCCUGUAAAACCACCAGUUCUCCUUGCCUGAAGUAUUUAAGAGGCCAGCCUGGUCCAGCACUUUGCUCCCCAACCCAGCGGGAGAAUGGUCACAGACCCCAGGCUUGAAUUAUCGGUUGCUUCAUCUUUAUCUGAUGAGGUUUCAAUCUCCUGGCUUGUCAAACAAGGAAAGUGUCCUUACAGAGGGUCUCUAAGAAUUGACAUGGAUAUAGACUCUGAAUCACAGAGUAUCACAUAGCAUUGUGUGAUGAACACUUGCUACUUUCCUAAGGAUGGACAUUAAUUAGACAAACUGGACACUUGCUGCCAGCUACUGCCUGGCCAAUUAUCACUUACUGCCGAUUCUUCCCGCAUGCAAACACACACAUGCCUACCAAACUCCCCAUCUGAGUCCCCCUCCUCUGCUUUCUCCCACUGAGUCUUUGUAUGUCUGUCUGUCCUGACUCUUGACAGGUCUUGUGCUAGGGUUCAUUUGUUACCAAUUAUUGAGAACUGGCUCUUGACACCUCUUCGCAGUGACCAGUAGCUAUCAUAUUGGGAGCUUGAGAGCAGCCACAGUGGGGGGUCAUAUGCAAUACAAAAUGAAAAUAAAGACAAAAGCAAGAAAUUCCCACCCCCACUGUGAAUUAGCCACUUGCCCCUCAAGAGCAGUGUGUUUACAUUUACAGGAUCACAGGUGCAGAUAGAUAUUUGACAGUUUUCUGUCUUAUUCGGGCUUGAUCAUGGGGCCUGAACUUGCAACUCCAAUCAAGAGGAGGCCUCAGAACUUACAAACACAGACUAGUCCUGCAAUUCAGUGGAAAUAAUGCUAAAUCCUCAUCAAGAUCUGCAGAGCAACCCUCGGUUUGAGAAUGGAACUAGGAAUUGGGUUGCCACUAAGUGCUAGAGCAUUAUGUCUAGCAUCUGUGGAGUCCUGAGUUCAAUCCCCCAGCACUGAAAAAAGAAACGGAAACAUCACAACAGAAGACCAAAAGGCUAAUGAAUGUACAUUAACGUCAGGAUUAACCCCACAACUAAUAAGAUCAAGGCAACACAACCCAAAUGCUUCCUCCCACUGACUCUUCCUCCUGGGGAUGCAUUCUCCAGGGCCAGGUCGUCCCUUAAGCACUGAUGGAAAUCUCCAUCAAAAAGCUCUCGGUGACCGCGUGUUCCAUCCAUUCCAGGAAUGCCUCGGCUCAGCCUUGGAAAAAGCUCCUGCAGUAAAAGCUGUAUGGAAGUAGGCAAAUCCUUUGCAGAUGAAAAGGAAGCCCUGCCUUUCCUUCUCGGUUGGGAGAGCUCCAAACAACACACAUGUGCUAAGGUACAAGCACCGUGGGAGCGCAAACCUCGGCUUAAUUUGCGGCUCCUGGAGGAGACUGGAGGGAGAGCAGGGGCCUCUCCUCUGUGGUGUUCAGGAAAGGCUCACUGGACUGAGGACCGUGGUGGGAGUGUUCAAGAGGCCACACUUAGUGCCAGUGCCAGGCCACACUUACUAGCCAGUCCUCCCGGAGAAAAACUUUAUUAAAGAAAUCAAUAGGUGUGCUACCUGUGAGUGGUGGGACGGUGGGAAUGACAUCCUGGAAAGCAGCUGCGUCUGCCUGGAAACCUACAACUCCUGGAAGGCGUUUCUGUGUCUGCAGAGACUGAUGACCCAAUAGGAAUUUCAGUACUGUGAAGAGGUUGGAAUUUUGUACGUUCAGAGGCUAAUGACUCUAUCUUGGGCUAGUUUUAACCUUCUGGAACAGCUGCUCCCUGGCUCACCUUGUAUCUGACCUAACACCUCAUGAUAAUAAAGAAAAACCUCUUAGAAGCUAUUGAUUCAGCAGAACUCUAGCUUCUGCCACUCAGAGAGCUAAGAAUGUCAUCAGGUAGCAUCUUGGGGUUAGAAAACAGCUUCCCCAUCUUGCUGUCCCCACCUAUGGUGUACCCACCAAUGUAUUUUAAAUGUGCCUUGACUCAGGACUGUCUUUGUUCUAUAAAUCUGAGAACCCUCUGUAACAGCUUCCACAAUGGAACACAGAAUUUGGGUAACCGAAAUCUGUGUUCCACGCCAUGGUUACUCAAAAUGGUUCCAGAAUAAACUGUCUCUUAUUCCUUUUAGAUGAGAGCUGUGGUCUGUCAGCAGCAGGAAGCGGGGUGGGUCUCCUCCCCAGGAAACAUUCUGCUGGGUUUUGAGAGCUGACAGUUCUCUGCUGUCGUGGAACCCUGCCCGUCUGUCAUGGGGUUCAUGAGUCUUCUCUGAGAAGCUGUUUUUUUUUUUUUUCCUGUCUGUACUUGAAAGAUUUCCCCACAGCCCAAUCCAUGAAAAUUCCUACCAGUUAAAUCUUAAAGCCCGUGUCUCCCCCCACUGGUUUCUCAAAUCCCACCUAUUCCCCUCUCUUUGUAACUGUAACUGCUGUGGAAUGCUGAACACUUUCUCCCCACCCAACUCCUCCCACAAACCCUGCCUGGACUUGCCAUCCCCAGUCCCGGCACGUGGGCAGCUUUCUCUUUGGGAGGGUUUUAUGACCAUCUCCUCAGAAGUAACGACAGAAAACCAGGACCCGGGAAAAGCACAGAAGUUCCAGGAUUCCCCUAGCUGUACCCUUACCUAGGUCUCUCGUUCAUACUGCACUGUGACCAGCAAGCUGUUCUUCCGAACUUGCUCCCUUUUUUCCCAGCCUCUCCUCCUGCUGUCAGGUACACUAUUGUGCUGAAGCAAGGCCGAGCGUGGGGAGUCAGAUUCCCACGGGCCCUCACAGCUUGCAAGUUCCACUUUAGUCCCUUAUUUUAGUGAUGGUGACCCCCCCCAUAUGACCUAGGCACUGAUGUGACUCUCAUCCUUUGGAAGAGGUGGGCCUGGCAUAACGACUGGGGUCAGGGGACUGGUCACAGCAUCUACACUUUUCUAGAAUUGUGUUUAUGAGAAAAGCCAACCUACACCCUCACUUCACCUACCCCCCAUUCCACCCUGGCAACAGCUUCUGGUCUUGGCAGAUGGCCUUCGUCCCCAGCCUUCCAGGGUCCAAGUACACACACCCAACUCUCCUCAUUUCUCUUCCCAACUAGUAAGAGAAGAUUUACUUCAGAAGCGGUUUGAUUCUUCCUUGCUGAAUAUCUGAAUCUAACAACAAUCGUCCAACAGCAGGAAAAAACACGAUUGUAUUGUACUUGCCAAUUUAAGCUUCGACUGCCUCACAUGGGUUUUUAUAAUCAGAUGGAUUUCUUACCCUCUGAAUCAGUUAUCUCCUGCCACAGGUGGGGGUCAGAAAACAGAGCAGACCAGACCACAGAAAGAACUGCCCAGGUCUGACUGUCCAGUGCUGAGCCUAUGUCUAUCAGCUGGCUGGAGGAGUCAUUUAUUCAUUCCCUACACACUUAAUUCAUUCCCUACAUUCAAUCACAUUUAUUUAUUCCCUGCACACUUAAUAAUAAUGUAACCUGAACUUCAGAUGAUACUAUGAGUCCGUUUUCAAUUAGACCAUGAGGCCUUUCAGAAAAACACUGAUCCCAGCCUGCUGCUGUCUAUCUCGUAAGGUUGGCAAGCUCAGCUCACGCCUGUUUGGCCCCCGAGUCUUCAUUGUAUAUGGCGAGUCGAGAGAAAAGUUCAAAGCCACCGAUCGACCUUCUUCUGUGUUCAAUUCAAGAAACGUAACAUGCACAAACCUACAAGAGGUAGCGGGGAGCUCAAAGAUGGAGAAGCUGAGGCUUCUUAGGAGGAAUCAGGCUCUGUCCUAGAUACGCUCAGAAGUGCAGAGAAACAGACACCGAGUCCUGCCCUCUAUAAAGCUUGUGGUCUGGUUUGUGCAGGGCAGACUCUGAGUAAGAGACAAGAGGAGACCAAGCUGGAGGGAUCCAUGUGCUCUGUGGACCAGAGAGCGCAGGGAAGUGGGUGAGUGCACUGGGAGAGGGGUGGGGACAGUGUCUUUGAAAAUGCAUUUAAAAGUAGGCUCUAGCGAGGAAAACAAGGCAUGCGGCGAUAUGAGCUCAUAGGAGCAGCAGAAACAGCGUGGACGAAGGCCCUGAGACCAGUACCCAUUGGUGUGUUCAAGAAGCAGAAGGUAAUCAAGAAUGACUGGAGUGGAGAGGGAACUGGGGAAAGCUUAAAGACACAGCGUGAGGUGGGACCCAUGAGCUGACUUACAGAACCGCUAGCAUCGGACUAAAAUAAAAGCGUGAAAGACAGAAGAAGCCAAGAGAAGCCCCAGAUGGACAACAACCACCACAAAAGCACAUGGAGGAAACUUGCAGUUGGUAAGGAAGACGGGGAAGAAGAAGGAAGGGUGGGAUGGAGAGAAAAGAAGAGAUGUGGUAGCUAUAGUCCUCUCUCUGACCCCCAAGCUGGACUUCACUCUCAUCCAGUAUCCAAAUCCUGGAGCCCAUUGCUAUAGGAGCUGUCUACAAGACCAGCAGAAGGAGACCCCUCACUAGCGUCAGAUUCCAGGGAGGUUCGUCUCAGCUGGGCCCCAGGACCCAGCAGAUUGUCAGGGCUACAGGGCGAAAGGAAAACCUCGGUCCUAUCGCAGAUUUCUCAGAUUGCCUAUCUUUGUCUUUGGAGGACAGCCCAUGACAAGCAUCAGGCAAGAGGUCCCAGGAGAAGGAGGGAGCAACUGACGACGUCAGCUCUGUUUGCAAAGGCUCACUCCAUAAGCCCAAGGGUUCACGGCCUUGCUUUGUACCAGACUCACCGUGGGCGUAGGGGUGGUGAGGAUACGGUCUGAAGGACAUGCGAGGAACAAUAUCUUCACGCUAGAAGCCAAUGUUCCUUCACUUUUUGUUCCUUCUCUUUAUUAAUCCCCUGGGUUUCUCAGGCAAGCUCAUAUUCAGUUCAACCCCAGCCUGCCCAUCCCACCUCCCUCCUACCUUGAAGAAUUUUGUGAAAAAAAAAAAGUAUGUUUGUGUAGCUUCUCCAAAUUUAGUCUCAAUGAGUGGCGCAGUUCAGCCCCUGCAAGCCUUCCGUGAGCGUCUGUUUGCUUUGCCGCACAAUGUCCAGAGAUCAGAGCAGACAAACUCCGGAUCAGCAAUGGACACUGGAUGGAGAAUUCCCUUGUUGUCACCAAGCAAGGAGUAAAGGAGAGAGACGCUGUCCUCCAGAGAGAGGCCUGAGAGCACCCGAUCGGCCGGGAGAUACGACCAUGAUGGAGAAUGAGAAAGGAAUAACGUCCAGAUGCCUCGCUUAACCCCUCUCUUUCUGCUGAGGCCCAACCAUGCAGAAGCAAGAUGAAGAGAUCUAAUAUAGAACAGACCUAAAGUCAAAAUUGACUCACCUCCUAAUUGGUUUACGAUCUUGCAUGACCUUCUCAGCCUUGGUGAGCAUCAGCGUCCUCUGAAGAGGGUUAGAAACAUCAACUCAAAAAUUGGAUGAGGAAGACACGAGGCACCCAGUAAAAGGCUGGUGCUCGGUGGGUAGCGGCUACUUUUAGUCUGUUGAGACACAUUGAAUGUUUUCUCUCCUCCCCCUCCCCCAGUACUACUGAAUUUUCUUAGGUUUAGUGGCCCUGGCAAGAUUUCUAAAAGCCCCGAGCAUGGAGAGGAAGCAGCUGAAGAUGAAGUCCGGGGCUGAGGGAGCGUCCACACCAGCACAACCACCCUUGUUAGAAGGAAAGGCUGGCCAGAGCUUUGAUUGCGACUGUGGGUCGCAGGUGAGGGUGCAGACCCUGAAGUGCGGAGCAGCCAAACCGGAUCCGAAUGCGUCACCGUGGGACGGUCUUCCCUGAACAACAGGACAGCACAAGCUUUCCACGACUGAGAACAUGUCUCUCGCGUGGGUGAACCUCAUCAUACAAACGAGCUGGCUGUACCUCUAUACUGGAGGAGACCUACCCAAGUGCCACCUCUGGCAAAGAAGGGACAUUAGUGGGGUACAGCUCGGUUGGGAUUCCCGUCAACGUAUAUUCACUCUGUCUCCUGGGGCUUCAGUAGGCAGUAGGCACAUGCGUUAUUUUAAGGGGCUCAAGGAAAUGGUGUCAGGAGGCCCACUUUGUAAGUACGUUUAUUAUUAUCUCCGCUGUUCAAGCCACACAAAAUUAAUGUCUGGCAUUUCCAGAAAUUGCUAUCGAUUCAGCAGCAGAUUUUACAAAGCCGAUCAAUAACAGUUUCCUCCCGCCCUCCUCCUCCCUCACUGGAUAUUUAUUUGUGACCAAGCUUUCGGCGGAUCCUCUGCUUUCUAGUGUUUAUAACUGGCAUAGAAUAAAUGGAAGAUUUCAUCUUUUUCCAGGAAGGAAAAAAAAAACAAAAGAAAGAGUAAGGACCUGGCUAUUAAAAAUGUCUCCCUCCACCACACCAAAGCAAAGCCGUGUGCAUCCGUGUGUGAAUAUAAGACAUAGAUAGCUAGGUGACAGGUGACAGAAAAUAGAUGUUCAGAUGGGCCUGGAGAUAAGUACAAGCCACAGUCAUCACCAUCGGCUCCUAAGUCAUGGCUUCUGAGCUCUCUCAACAUCCUACGCCACACCGAAGUUCCAGAAAGCCACACAGACCUUUGUGGUCACAGGAUAAGACCUAUUUCAUGAGUCUCAUUGAGUGAACAGAAUACCAUAUUUGCUACUCUGCCUCAGUACUGGAAAAGACCAUGUGACUAGUUCUAGCCAAAAGAUAGAAGUAGAUGUGACAUCAAACAAAGCCCAGAAAAGUGGAUGUGAUGGCUUGGAAGACGGACGCAGAAUUGAAGAACUGCCUUCAUCAGAUUGACUGUAGAUGUGUCUAGGGGGCAUUUUCUUAAUGACUAGUGGAUGUAAGAGGGCCCAGCCCAUGGAGGGCAGAACAGCCUUCAGGCGCGUGAGCCUGGGCUACACAAGAAAGGUAGCUGAAGAGGAACCUGGAAACAAGCCAGUAAGCAGCCUUCCUCCAUGGUUUCUGCCUCCGAUUCUGGCCUUGAGUUUCUGCUUUGGCUUCCUUCAACAGUGGACUGUAACCGAUUAAAGGAAAUAAGCCACUUGCUUCUCAGGUUACUUUUGGACGAGGUGUGUUUGUCACAGCAGCCGAAAGCUAACUAGAACGGGCAUCCUUUGUUGUGCAGGCCCUAGGAGCUAGGUGCUGAGAACUGGAGGUGCCAGUUAAAGUAGACAUUGUUGCUAGUUGAAGGGGGGCUACCUUGGAGAGCUGUGUAGUUCCCAGGGAAAUUUCUGUAAGAAAUUCUCCGAUAAUUCAGAACAAUCUAACCUAGCACUCUAGUCCAGUGGUUCUCCAUCUUCCUAAUGCUGCAAUCCUUUAAUACAGUUCCUCACACUGUGGUGACCCCUCAACCAUUGAAUUAUUUUUGUUGCUUCUUCAUAACUGUAAUUUUGCUACUGUUAUCAAUCGUAAUGUAAAUAUCUGUGCUUCCCUACCGUCAUAGGCAACCCACAGGCUGAGAACCACUGCUCCAGCCUAGGCCAACCUAAUGGUUUCUUACUGCUGGAGCCAUGUUUAAUUGGUUUGAUCUUUAAAUGCCAAUAAGCCAUUUGGAGACUAGUAAGUUGAAAUCUCCUCUGUGCAUAGUCAUUGGCAGAGCCACGCAGUGUAACUUAUGUCCACCCAAUCCACUUUGGACCCCAAGAUAAGGGCCAUGGCUUAUCCAUGGUCCUAAACGGUCUCCAGGGACAGAUUGGAAAAGGUGUUCUUUCUACUUUUUGGUACAACUGUUACUGCUAGAAAUCUCUUUCCUUGGGCCUCCUAAAAACAGCCUUUCUGUUGCUUACACCUAUUAACCUUCUCAGUUCGACCCUCCGGAGCUCUGAAACAACAAAAGACAAAUCCGACCUUCCCCUAAACUUCUCCAGGCUACUUUGAUCACAGUUCUUUCCAGAAGCCUCAUCAGUCAAGCCAUCUCUAACAAAUCAAAUCUCACCAGAAGGUGCCAAAGCGUUGUCCCAAUUGUUUCAUUGUGUGAGGAUUCUAUGGUGUAAAAAAAAUAUUUCAAGCGAACAGAAUUCCACGCCUGGCGCCCAACACCAUUGUAGAAAGGUUUGCUUUGCGGCAAUCUCCCUUUCCUCCAGGUUUAACUUCUUCAUUGUGCUGCUAAGUGCUUUGCCCAUGAGUGCAGGGUAAAAAGUUUUCCACCACUCUGACCUCAAAGAGAGAAGCCGGUGUCUGAGGGGCCGGCAAACAGACUGUGAUUGCCGCAUGAGGAGCUCUUUGCACAGGCUAAUGGGCCGUCUAACCUCUGCCCACAGCCGUCCCCUGUAGGGUCUUCUAAAUAGAUUGCCAAGGAGUUGUUGAUUUGGCGAAUCGAUUCACGAGGUUUUCUGGACUACUCAUUUCUGUGAAGGAUUGUUAGGGACUUUAACAACACAUGCAUGUGCUAGCACCUGGUGGGGCAUUCCUUAAGGGAAACAAGAGACCUGGGGGGCGCAACACUAAUGCAGACAAAUCUAUUCUCUCUUCCUAAUAGUUGGUCCCCUUCAUGUUUUAGCUGGAAAACUGUUAAGAUGUGUACAUACCGAGGCUUCUGAGGCUUCAAGUCUCCAUCUAUCAUUAUAGCUCUAGCAGGAGAAAUAACGUAAAAUUUUACUUUGCACAGCUAAAGCAAUCAAAUCAACAGAAAGGUUAAAAAAAUAAAAAAAAUUAAGCUUAA